rnacentral:rRNA from 1 species
UACGGAGGGGGCUAGCGUUGUUCGGAAUUACUGGGCGUAAAGCGCUCGCAGGUGGUUCGUCGCGUCGUGCGUGAAAGACCCCGGCUCAACUGGGGAGGGUCGUGCGAUACGGGCGGACUGGAGGCCAGUAGGGGGAUGCGGAAUUCCGGGUGUAGUGGUGGAAUGCGUAGAGAUCCGGAGGAACACCAGCGGCGAAGGCGGCAUCCUGGACUGGUCCUGACACUCAGGAGCGAAAGCGUGGGGAGCGAUCCGG